rnacentral:lncRNA from 1 species
GCGAUUAUAAAUAAUAGAUAAUUCCUUUUUUAAUAUGUCAAUUCAAUUGGAAAAGCUUUUGCAACUAGACCUUGUAAUAGGGUUGUGUGGAAAAAAAAAGGUGUGACAUUGAAAUCAAUCAAGGUAUUAUUAUAGGUUCAACAGAACAUUGCAAACAGAGAAGCUCAAACAAACGUAUAAAAAAUAUACCUUUCAACAAAGCAAAGAACCCAUAACUGAAUCAGAAGACCUACCUACCUUCCUUAAUUAAUUUGCUCAAACAAAAAAAAACAUAUCCAUGUACUAACUGUUAAAACAACACAUUAAAAGAAACACCAAGAAUAUGGCCAACAGGCACUGAAUCAUAUCUCUAAAAUAACAUAAAGAUGAACAUUGAACAAAUUGAACGGGAAAUGAAGGAACGGACCUCAAUGGCAAAAAUUCUUUCCAAAUUAAAGAAAUCUUCAUACUUAUAGUUAUAUCCAACGAAGAGCAACAACAUUCGACAACAAAAUCGAGUAUCAACCAGAAGAAACCAAUAAAAGUGCGAAUUGAAACCCGAACAUCGACUUAAACCGGCUCCAUCUCAACAGAGAAACUCAGACACGAAAUUGGACUCCAAAAUGGAAGCCGUUGACAAUUAACCAACAACAUUUCAAUCUGGUUGUUUGUGUUUAGGAGGGUCUUUUUUUUAUUUUUUUAUGUGUUUCUCUCAUCUAUGUCUAUGAGGAUGAUAGGUGAGGGAGCAAUGGCUAUCGUGACCUAAGAUGGAUAGCAACGGAAGUUCAAGUGAAAAGAGGGGGCUGUUUCUGCAUAGGUGGUGAAAUGGCCAAGAGGGAUGGAUGCGUGAAUAGAUCGGAAGGGGCCUCGUGGUGUUCUUAGAUGACGAUGAUUUCAGGGGUCGCUUGGUCAAAGAGGGGUCUUGCGGAGAAGAUGAUAUCAAUGGGGGAGAGGGGUCAUUUUUUCAGCGCAACCUUUUCUGUGGUGUGUACCUCAUUUUUAUUUUUUAUUUUUAGCGUUACUCCCCUCUCCUUAUAGGUCUAGGUUUAGGAUUAGUUUUUGUGUAUUUAACAAUUAGUCCCUAGGUAUUUUUGUAUAAGUUCUUAGAGUCUUUUUAUU